GUGCUCGCUUCAGCAGCACAUAUACUGAAGUUGGAACGAUACAGCGUAGAUUAGCAUGGCCCCUGCACACGGGUGACAUGCAAGUUUGUGAAGCGCUCCAUAUUUUU
ensembl:snRNA U6 U6 spliceosomal RNA